AUUGAACGCUGGCGGCGUGCCUAAUACAUGCAAGUCGAACGGAGUGGCGCACGGGUGAGUAAUAUAUAGCUAAUCUUCCCCUUGCUGGAGGACAACAGUUAGAAAUGACUUCUAAAACUCCUUAGCAAGGGAGGAGACUAUAUCGUAUCAGCUAGUCGGUGGGGUAACGCCCUACCGAGGCUAUGACGCGUAACUGGUCUGAGAGGAUGAUCAGUCACAUUGGAACUGAGACACGGUACAAAAACCUACGGGAGGCAGCAGUAGGGAAUAGUGCGCAAGGGGGGAAACCCUAACGGAGCAUCGCAGCGUGGAGGAUGACACUUUUCGGAGAGUAAACUCCUUUUGUUAGGGAAGCGGGACCAAACGAAUAAGCACCGGCUAACUCCGUGCCAGCCGCCGCGGUAAUUC
rnacentral:rRNA from 1 species